rnacentral:rRNA from 1 species
UACGGAGGGGGCUAGCGUUGUUCGGAAUUACUGGGCGUAAAGCGCGCGUAGGCGGAUCAGUCAGUCAGGGGUGAAAUCCCGGGGCUCAACCCCGGAACUGCCUUUGAUACUGCUGAUCUCGAGGACAGGAGAGGAGAGUGGAAUUCCCAGUGUAGAGGUGAAAUUCGUAGAUAUUGGGAAGAACACCAGUGGCGAAGGCGGCUCACUGGCCUGGUAAUCGACGCUGAGGUGCGAAAGCGUGGGGAGCAAACAGGAUUAGAUACCCCUGUAGUCC